rnacentral:rRNA from 1 species
GAUGAACGCUAGCGGCAGGCCUAACACAUGCAAGUCGAACGGUAAGGCCCAGCUUGCUGGGUACACGAGUGGCGCACGGGUGAGUAACGCGUAUGCAACCUGCCUCGAACAGGGGGAUAGCCCCGAGAAAUUGGGAUUAAUACCCCAUAACGCAUCGGAGCCGCAUGGCUCUGUUGCUAAAGCCCCGGCGGUUCGAGAUGGGCAUGCGUGGCAUUAGCUAGUUGGUGGGUAACGGCUCACCAAGGCGUCGAUGCCUAGGGGUUCUGAGAGGACAGCCCCCCACACUGGUACUGAGACACGGACCAGACUCCUACGGGAGCAGCAGUGGGGAAUCUUGGACAAUGGGGGCAACCCUGAUCCAGCCAUGCCGCGUGAGUGAUGAAGGCCC